CCUACGGGUGGCAGCAGUGGGGAAUAUUGGACAAUGGGGGCAACCCUGAUCCAGCCAUGCCGCGUGUGUGAAGAAGGCCCUCGGGUUGUAAAGCACUUUCAGUGAGGAAGAACGCCUGGUGGUUAAUACCCAUCAGGAAAGACAUCACUCACAGAAGAAGCACCGGCUAACUCCGUGCCAGCAGCCGCGGUAAUACGGAGGGUGCGAGCGUUAAUCGGAAUUACUGGGCGUAAAGCGCGCGUAGGGGGCUUGAUAAGCCGGUUGUGAAAGCCCCGGGCUCAACCUGGGAACGGCAUCCGGAACUGUCAAGCUAGAGUGCAGGAGAGGAUGGUAGAAUUCCCGGUGUAGCGGUGAAAUGCGUAGAGAUCGGGAGGAAUACCAGUGGCGAAGGCGGCCUUCUGGACUGACACUGACACUGAGGUGCGAAAGCGUGGGUAGCAAACAGGAUUAGAUACCCGUGUAGUC
rnacentral:rRNA from 1 species